rnacentral:miRNA from 1 species
CUUCUCCACAAAGCAGUUUACACAAACACACACACACAUAUUUAUUUAUUUGAUGAUUAUUUCAGAUAAAUAAAUAUGUGUGUGUGUUUGUGUAAACUGCUUUGUGGAGAAGUU